rnacentral:tRNA from 1 species
CGACGGAAGCGCCGAGCCUCGAGCCCGGAAGAGCUUCCAUUGAAUUCUAAGAACAUUGCCGCCGUCCUCAUGUCCCUUCAUUCUGGAACAUAUUCCUUCGGGAAUAUGCACCCGAGCUGGCCUCGCUAGCCCGAAAGGCUCUUGCCGCAUCGGGUGUGGAAGCGGGGGCCGGUAGCUCAGGUGGUUAGAGCGCACGCCUGAUAAGCGUGAGGUCGGAGGUUCAACUCCUCCUCGGCCCACCAUCCGCUACCGCGACAUGGUUGGGGGCCUUAGCUCAGCUGGGAGAGCACCUGCUUUGCAAGCAGGGGGUCAUCGGUUCGAUCCCGAUAGGCUCCACCAGUCGUAUCCAGAUAUGAAGACAACAGUUUCCGCCUUCGGGCGGAUUUUGGCAGGGUUUCGACCUUGCCCAUCGGCACUUUGACAUUGUGAAUGGGUUUUUCAAUCGAUGCCGCGCUGGUUCGAUUGACUACGGGAAGGCGGUUUACCGCAGGCCCGGGUCAAGAGGAUCAACGCAUUGAUUAAUACUGGCUGAGAUGAAAACAAUCA